AGGCUUAACACAUGCAAUCGAGGGGCAGCACAGGUAGCAAUACCGGGUGGCGACCGGCGCACGGGUGAGUAACGCGUAUGCAACUUGCCUAUCAGAGGGGGAUAACCCGGCGAAAGUCGGACUAAUACCGCAUGAAGCAGGGGCCCCGCAUGGGGAUAUUUGCUAAAGAUUCAUCGCUGAUAGAUAGGCAUGCGUUCCAUUAGGCAGUUGGCGGGGUAACGGCCCACCAAACCGACGAUGGAUAGGGGUUCUGAGAGGAAGGUCCCCCACAUUGGUACUGAGACACGGACCAAACUCCUACGGGAGGCAGCAGUGAGGAAUAUUGGUCAAUGGGCGUAAGCCUGAACCAGCCAAGUCGCGUGAGGGAUGAAGGUUCUAUGGAUCGUAAACCUCUUUUAUAAGGGAAUAAAGUGCGGGACGUGUCCUAUUUUGUAUGUACCUUAUGAAUAAGGAUCGGCUAACUCCGUGCCAGCAGCCGCGGUAAUACGGAGGAUCCGAGCGUUAUCCGGAUUUAUUGGGUUUAAAGGGUGCGUAGGCGGCCUUUUAAGUCAGCGGUGAAAGUCUGUGGCUCAACCAUAGAAUUGCCGUUGAAACUGGGAGGCUUGAGUAUGUUUGAGGCAGGCGGAAUGCGUGGUGUAGCGGUGAAAUGCUUAGAUAUCACGCAGAACCCCGAUUGCGAAGGCAGCCUGCCAAGCCAUGACUGACGCUGAUGCACGAAA
rnacentral:rRNA from 1 species